UCUUUAUGGAUGAGCAAAGAAAGUAGUUUCUUGAGAUGAAACCUACUCCAGGUGAAGAUGCUGUGAA
rnacentral:pre_miRNA from 1 species